rnacentral:lncRNA from 1 species
UCAGCAUUACUUGUAACUUAAAAGUUUAAAACGUUUCCUUUCCUUUCUUGAAGCCUGAAGGUCUUACAAAGGAGGAAAACAGGCAAAAGGUAGCAGCCAGAUGGGGAAGUUGAAAGAUUUUCAGCAGCUUACAAGUGAUUACAUUUCCUGAAUGUGAACAAUGAAGGGUGGCUGGGCUGUCCUUUAGGUUUGUAGCUGGAAUUUGUGUAGCCUUCAUGAUGGAAAAACCGAAGAUUUGUUUGCAGGAUGAGUUCAGGUGUAGGCUUCACUUUUUCUCUCUUCCUGCUGAGCAACCCCAGCCUCUGAUCAAGGGGCACUUUUUGUUGUGUGCGGAGGGGUGCCUCUGACUCAUUUUGGGGCAGUUACUGGACCCGAUGCCUGUUAAAAGCAUUUGCUGUAUUUGUCAUUCUGCUUGGAAUAGUGAAAAGAGUCUUUCUCAGCCACUGUGUCUGGAUAUUUUGUUGUGGCUCUGGGCACUGAUUGCCCAGCCUCUCACUUUGUGGCCGAGGGGUGGGACUCCACACAGAGGACGGGUCUCGCUUACAUUUGCUGCCGCGUGGGCUUGUUCCUCCCAGUCUCUGGCCCCCUCCUUGCCUUCUGAAAAGGGUGAGCUUAUCCCAGCCCUGUCAUUGCCCCUGCAGUGCUGAGCCUGUACCAGGCAUGCUCUCAAGAGCCUGUUUCUGACUGGGGGAAGUAUAAAGCCUACCAGGUAAGAGUGCAUACUGAAAAAUGGCUGAGUGGAAGUGAAAAUUGACCAAGGGGAGUAGUUCGGAUAAGUUCAGUUUUUUUUAUAGCUUGCAGGAGGGCUGUCACACUUUUAUUUUUAUAAUCCCUGAAGGUAAGCAGAUAUAGGGUUUAUGCAGUGGCAGAAAAGAAAAUACAUCUGUUCUUAAAUUCCUUAAAUUGCUCAGACUUUUUAUAAAGAUUGUUUGAUUUAUUCAUUACUUCUUUUUUUCUUCAUAUUUUCUAAUAAGGGAGAGACGUAAGACAAAAGGAAGACAACAGAGUGUAUUAGACACAGUUUUGUGGUAAUUCUGGCACUAAUUAGAUGCAGAUUUAUUUUAAAGCUUUUUAUAAAAUUUCCCUGAACCUGACUGGAACUCAAAUAAUUUUUUUUCAGUAAGGCAUUUAUUGAUAGUAUUGGAUUGAUUGUUUGGAUUUUUCUGUUAUCAUUUUGCAUAUUUGCGUAACACUUUGUAUGUUCAGUUUUUUUAAAUUUAAGUAUAGUUGAUUUACAGUGUUGUGCCUAUUUCUGCUGUACAGCAAAGUAACCCACUCAUACAUAUAUAUGCUUUCUUUUUCUUGUAUUAUCUUCCAUUAUGUUUAGCAUUUACAUAUUUAAAAAAUUAACCUAUAUUGGAGUAUAUGAGAAAUCUCUGUACCUUCUGCCCAAUAUUGCUUUAAAUGUAAAACUGUUCAAAAAUCUCAGUCCAGCAAAAAAGAAAAUUAACUAGUCUCUUGAAAAUAUUUUCUGCUAAUACCUAAAUCUGAUGCAAUACAGCACAGAGAGUGUUAAACCUUUUCCCAUCGUGCAUGAAUUAUUACCGAAACUGAUUCACUCUUAUUUUUCAAAAUGACUAAUAAAAGUAGGGGACAUAUUUCAACUUAUUGUAUUUUGAUUGCCACUUUUUAAAAAACUAUAGCAAGAGAGGCAGAAUGAUUGUUUUAAAAACUCUCUUCCUGAAUAAGACGUGAGACGGAAAAUAGGCUUUGUACUUACUUUGGAAAUGCACUUAUUUAUUGCUUUGGAAAGUUGGUUGGACAAUAGGUAAAAUUCCUUCCUAAAAUAAGAGUGGAACUCAGUAACUGAGAAAGUUGGGGUUCUUGUAUUUGGCAAUCAUAUUUAUAAAACCCCCCUUUUUCAUGUAGUUGCACAUAUUUACAAAGAAAUGAGGCUAAAGUAGGAAAUUCACAGUGAGUACAGAGUAAUUGGCUUCAGAUGGCUUUAGAAAAAUCUUUCGUAUUUGUGUACUUUGUUUUGUCAGUGAGGAAUAUCUUCGUAUCUUCCAAGCCAUGUUAUUAUGAAAGAAAAUGUUAAACCUUUAGUUUUGUGUGACCCGCAACUAGCCACAGAUAUUUGAGCCUAAAUCCGUUUCUAUUACAGUGACUGAAAUAAACAGAAUACAGUCAUUAAAAUGCAGUGAUUCUAGACAGAUGUAUAUGUGAUACAUGAAUAAAAUACAACAUGCCUUGGUGGUUUAGAAGGGGAAUGAAGAACUUUCCCAGCUGUCUUAAGCUGAAAUGGGGACGGUAGCCUGGGAAUUCCUCUGAUAGUUACCUGUAGGAUAAAACAUUUUAUACCCUUGUUACAUUAAAGAGCAAUUACAUGCAAAGUGAUGGAAGAAAUAUGGACUAUUUCUAGACCCAUCGGAGAGUGUGAAACUUUUCCAAAGUGUUUGCAGCACGUACCAAUGUGUUGGAUGUGAUAGACUCUCGGGGCAUCCGGGGUCCAGGCAGCCUUUUUCUGCAGGUGGGGGCCAGGUCACAGCUUUUCAGAGAGAAAGCAGUCCUCAGGGGAUGGUGUUCAUGGGAGACCAGGCAUUGAGGCUUUGUGUGGCUCACCUGUGUCCCUAUACUUUGCUUCUCAGUCUGAAGUUAAAGCUGCCUUUGGGAAGACUUAGGUCCCUGAAGCUUGAGCUAUAGACUCGAUGUAAGAUCAGGCCACUACUUCUCACACUUGACUGUGUGUAUGAAGCAUCUGUGAUUUGCUUAAACAGCAGAUUCUGAGACAGCAGGUGUGGGGCGAAGCCUGACAUUCUGCAUUUCUAACAAGCUUCCGGGGGGCUGCCGACGCUGCAGGUUCUGGGAGCAUACUUGGGCGAUAUCAAACUCGAUAACACAAUAUCAAACAGAAUAUUAAAUGUGAUUUGGCAUGAUAUUAAAAACCUCCCAGAUAAUUAUUUUUAACUUAACGAACAUUGUCUAAUCAAUGCUAAGCAAUGGGCUGGUGCGGCAAAUGACGGAGAAUGUGAUCAAGGUGAAGUGACCAGUGUAGGCACUGGCUCUUCACAGAUGAUGUGGCUGAUGACGUGUCACCUCCUGUUUUCUCUGGAAGCAACGUGCAGUAUCAUAGCCUCCGAUGAGCCACCAUGGCUUUUCUUUUCUGGGACUCAUUACCUUUGACAGCCCUGCCCCUGGCCUCUGGGGACAGGUCUCUCUUGCGUCACCACCAAGGUCUCAUCCACUCCCUCUCUCUGCCCAUCAGGAGCGUCCUGCGUGUGUUGGGAUUGAUUUGCAUCUUGCUCCUAUAUCUUCUAAGAGCAUCUUCUGCCCAGCCUGGCUUGCAGGUGCCCCACUACAGCUCAGGGAGAAUUGAAGUAUAGAAUUGUCAUCUGUGGGGAAACUGCUUCUUUUCCUUUCACAAAUCCGAUAUCAUCAGACGGUCUCCAGCGUUGAUUUUUUUUUUUUAUAAACCUUCCAUGUCUCAACUUGUUAGGUUUAUGCUUUGAGUUUUCUACAUAAAUAUUUGGUCAGGGUCCUAGAUACGCUAUGAACUCUUAUUGUUAUUAUUUUUUAAUGGCAACACCCAUAGCAUAUGGAAGUUCCAUCUGAGCCCCAGCAGCCACUGCAACGCCAGAUCCUUUAACCCACUGUAUGGGGCUGGGAAUCAAACCUGUGCCUCCACAGCAACCUGAGGUGCUAUGGUCAGAUUCUUAACCCGCUGCACCACAGCAGGAACUCUGGCACUAUGGACUCUUAAAGGGAAGGGAGUGGGCAUUGGAGCACUAGUGUGGUACCCCAAAUGCUUCAGGAAUUUUUAUUCCCAUUGUAUUUUCCUCUUCAAACCUUUUUAAUGAAAAUUUCACAUGUACAGUAACUUGAAAGAGUUUUCAGUGAACAGCUGUAUAUUCACCACCUAGAUUCCACUGUUAACAUUUUGCUUCAUCACAUCUGUCAACCUUCCUAUCCCUUUGUCCAUCUCUUCCCAUUUUUUUUUUUUUUUUUUUUUUUUUUUUUUUUGUCCUUUAGGGCCGUACCCGCAGCAUGUGGACGUUCCCAGGCUAGGGGUAAAGUUAGAGAUACAGCUGCCAGCCUACACUACAGCUAAGAGCAACGAUGGAUUCUUAACCCAUGGAGCACCAUCUUAUUUUUGAUGCCUUUUAAAAUAAGCCUCAGUUGGCAUAUUUCACUAUUCUUAUGAUUAACUAGAGUUCAGUAUUUUUUGAGUGUUUCAUGUGAAAUGCACACAUCCUUAAUUGUACAUAAGUUGAGCUUUGACACGUUGAGUGUACCUGUAUAAAUCCCCGGCAAAAUAUAGAACAUUACCAGCACCUGAGAAAGUUCCCUUAUGCCCCUUCUCGGCUCCUUUUGUUCUUUUGUGAAUUUUCCUAAAUGAGGACUUAAUUCAUCCCAAAUAGGUGAUUUGUGAUUAGUUUAUUUCUUGAAACUAAAUUUUGAUCAACUUUAUUUCAUGCAGGUUACUUUCAUAUUUAGCAGUACACAUUGUACAUUGUACUUUCUUUUUCUUUUCUUUUUUUUUCUUUUUUUUCUUUUUAGUGCCGUACUCUAGUAUAUGGAGGUUCCCAAGCUAGGGGUUGAAUCGGAGCUGUAGCCGCUAGCGGACACCACUGACACAGCAACUCGGGAUCUGAGCUGCCUCUUUGACCUACGCCACAGCUCAUGGCAACACCGGAUCCUUAACCCACUGAGUGAGGCCACGGAUCAAACCUGUGUCCUCAUGGAUUCUAGUCAGAUUCAUUUCCGCUGAGCCAUGAUGGGAACUCCUGUACGACACUUUCUAACAUGUUAAUAUUUCAUCUAGACUAACUCAUCAUGUUCCUUAGUUCUGACACAUCAAAGAUUUAAUAACAGUAACUUAGAAUAUCUGGUUUUCCUCUCGGCAGAGAUUACUUGCCAAAAACUCGGUUGAUUCUUAUACAUCAGUAGACACAGAUACUUGGCAGUAACCAUGUUCUAAGAGGUUCUUGGUGCGAUUGCACCUGUUUUCUCUGGAUACAAAGGAACAAAACAAAACAAAACAAAACACCUUUUUCAGGCCAGCUGUUCCUUGUGAAGAUUUUAUUUGAGGAUGUAUUCACCUCAUCAUUGAGCUUGAAAUAUAUGUUGGUUGACACUGCUUCUUUGGGAACAGAAAGCUCUGUUCCUGUGAUAAUCUUAAUUCCAGAAAUAUUCCAUGUUUACAUACAGGAGUUUGUGUCAACUUUACCCUCAAGUAAUUUGGAUCUUCUCUCAUAAAGAUACAAGGAGCUGUGUAAAACCUCCAUUACCCGGACUGCACCUAGCCUGAAACUCCAGGCUCUCCGAAUGACUUAUAACCAGAAAAAUAAAAAUAUCCAGCCAUGUCUUUGGUCACAAGCAGUUUUUAAAUAUCCAGCAAGAAAGCAUAGGCCAGAGAGUAUGAUAAAAAUGAACAAGUUUAUAAAGUUGUUCAGGGUUUUUUUUUUUUUUUUUUUUUUUUUUGUCUUUUUGCCUUUUGAGGGCCGCUCCCCCACCUGGGAACCUCCAUAUGCCGCGGGAGCGGCCCAAAGAAAUAGCAAAAAGACAAAAAAAAAAACAAAACAGAAACUGGCUCUGUCUCAUUAGGGCUAAUAUAUAGUUAACUGCCUAUAGGCCAAAAACCAAACCAAACCAAAACAACAGCAAAAAGAACCCCAAAGCCCUGCAUGCAUAUUUACUCCAUUCUCGUUUUCCAAGCUAUUUAAAGUUGCUUUUCUCUGAGAUGAAAGAACAGAGUCAUAUUUACAAAUAAAUACUUGCUGAAGUCAAUUCUGAUAAAAUAAUUUGGAGAACUGUUGUAAGAAAAACAUAAAUUCAAGUUAUAAAUCAAAGCAGCUUUCCACGCAAUUACAACAGUAUGAGACUUCUACUUAUUUAAAUAUUUUAUCUUAUGACAUUGGGGGCAUCAGAGGCGUAUAUCUGCAUUUCUUGGUAUAAUCAUGUAACCUAAAGUAGAGAAUUGUGGGAAAUGGUCACUUUUUCCCCCUCUUACAAUGUCAAGCCCCAGUGGAAUAGAAAAAAAUGUCAGUUAUCUUCCCUCAUAUCUUAUAGAGUACUUGCACUUAUUAUAAGUUCAUCUUAUAACAAAGUGGUACCAUUUUUGCAGGUCUUAUAAUACUUUCAGCUUCGAUUAAAAUUUUAAGAUGCUUGGAAGUUCCCAUUGCGGCUCAGUGGGAACGAACCCGACUUGUUUCCAUCAGGAUGUGGGUUCUGUGGCCAAUAGGUCAAGGAUCUGGCUUUGCCACAAGCUGUGGUAUAGGUCGCAGAUGUGGCUCGGAUCCCACAUUGCUGUGUCUGUGGCAUAGGCUGGUGGCUACAGAUCCAAUUCAACUCCUAGCCUGGGAACCUCCAUGUGCCUUGAGUGUGGCCCUAAGAAGCAAAAAAAAAAAAAAAAAAAAAAAAA